UUUAUGCAGAGGCGGAGGCUAAGGGUGUUAUGGUGCAGACCAUCAAAGACAUCAACUCUCAAGUUAUAGAAGGUAGAUUCUUGAUUCUGUAUUUGCUUUAUUCAUUCUGCCCCUGGUGAUGAUGUCUAAUAAUCUUGUUCUGUCUAUAUCAGACCCUUCCUUGACAAAGAACAUAGGUGGACAGUCUAUCCAGGCUGGAUAGGUGAUUGGUAAGUUCUUUAUCAUUCCUAUUUCUUCUAUU
rnacentral:lncRNA from 1 species